rnacentral:rRNA from 1 species
GUAGGUGGCAAGCGUUGUCCGGAAUUAUUGGGGCGUAAAGCGCGCGCAGGCAGUUCUUUAAGUCUGAUGUGAAAGCCCACGGGCUCAACCGUGGAGGGUCAUUGGAAACUGGAGAACUUGAGUACAGAAGAGGAAAGCGGAAUUCCACGUGUAGCGGUGAAAUGCGUAGAGAUGUGGAGGAACACCAGUGGCGAAGGCGGCUUUCUGGUCUGUAACUGACGCUGAGGCGCGAAAGCGUGGGGAGCAAACAGGAUUAGAUACCCUGGUAGUCCACGCCGUAAACGAUGAGUGCUAAGUGUUAGGGGGUUUCCGCCCCUUAGUGCUGCAGCUAACGCAUUAAGCACUCCGCCUGGGGAGUACGGCCGCAAAGGCUGA